UGGGGAUGACGUCAAGUCCUCAUGGCCCUUAUGGGUAGGGCUUCACACGUAAUACAAUGGUCGGUACAGAGGGUUGCCAACCCGCGAGGGGGAGCCAAUACCCAGAAAACCGAUCGUAGUCCGGAUUGCAGUCUGCAACUCGACUGCAUGAAGUCGGAAUCGCUAGUAAUCGCGGAUCAGCAUGUCCGCGGUCGAAUACGUUCCGGCCUU
rnacentral:rRNA from 1 species